rnacentral:rRNA from 1 species
CCUACGGGGGGCUGCAGUCGAGAAUCUUCCGCAAUGGGCGCAAGCCUGACGGAGCGACGCCGCGUGUGGGAUGAAGGCCUUCGGGUUGUAAACCACUGUCAGUGGGGAGCAAAUGCAUCGGGGUUCUCCCCGAUGUUUGAGCGAUCCGCAGAGGAAGCACAGGCUAAUUCCGUGCCAGCAGCCGCGGUAAUACGGAAUGUGCAAACGUUAUUCGGAAUCACUGGGCUUAAAGAGUCCGUAGGCGGCUUGUUAGGUGAGGUGUGAAAUCCCCCGGCUCAACCGAGGAAUUGCGCUUCAAACCGGCAAGCUUGAGGAGGAUAGAGGUGGGCGGAACUGAUGGUGGAGCGGUGAAAUGCGUUGAUAUCAUCAGGAACACCGGAGGCGAAGGCGGUCCACUGGGUCCUAUCUGACGCUGAGGGACGAAAGCUAGGGGAGCGAAC